rnacentral:lncRNA from 1 species
AUAUAUCUCCUGAUUUUAAUUUCUCUUCAUUUGUUCUGUGCUCCGAUCCAUUGAACAUAUUUGAUGACUGGCUUCAGUUCCAGGAAAUGUCGCUACAAGCCGUGCGAGUAAAAAAAUAGAACUCAAAAGAAGUUGAAAAGAAAAGGAAUCGAAGAAGAAGGCCACUUGCGUAGGAUAGAAAACGAGUAAAUACGGACUCUGCUAUUCCGUCAAAAGCGAUGAAAUGGCGAACAAGUUAUGUCAGUAAACAAAAGAAANGAUACGCAGGCAAUUUAAAAAGCGACAAAAUGCAGAAAUAAGUAAAGAAUAACUACUAAAAGAACUAAAACGAAGGUGAUACACAAGAAAAUGACUGAGUGCGAAGAAAGAUGGUUUUUAUGCUAUCUGUGAUGGUUUAAUAGUGAUAACAAUGGAAGAAAUCAGGUUCUAGCGAGGAACAGAGGGCCUCCACCUGGCUUUACAUCAAGAGGACACAGAUUGAUGCAGGAAAGCCGAAGUCCUCAAGUUAUAAGAAGGCCUCUACCUGACGAUACAUUGAGACGACAGGGAGUGUUCCAGGGAACAAGAGUUAACGAUCAAGUAGAAAUAUAUGUAGACGAAGUCCUUCAAGAUGGUAUUAACCAGGAGGUGUAAAGAUACGAAAUCAUUAUUAUUACAAAAUUAUUAUUACAGUCACUACAAUGACUAGACCUUCAGUUAGUGUAUACGAUAAACGAAUAUUUCGCAAUCGUUGACACAGUCCGCGUAUGUGGUAGGGUGAUUUUUGUUAACCCAUGAAACAAAGUGUACUAAUUACAGUGUAAUGGUCAUAUAAAUACAAUAGAAAACAAAAGAAAUAGAGUGUUAUAGCCAGCUAAAGUGCAUUUCACGGGUUUAUGAAAACCUCUCUAUCUGGCAAAAUAUAAAAAUUCUUUUGUCUAAUUUAAUAUCUUAAAUAAAGUUGUAUAAUUAGUGAGUAAAAAUACACAACAUGGAAUUAGUGUUAAACAACUACGUACUAUACUAAGUAAUUAUUCUUUCACGGGCCAUGUAAUAUCAUUUAACCUACCUAAUAUACUCUACUCUAUGACCAGCAUACUCUGUCCAACACCACAUCCCCGUAUAACAUAGUAUGGGAGUACCAAGCUACUCCGUCCUCUCCAGGGGUUACUAUGAAGGCCAUCUCUUUCGGUGUUUCUUUCAAUGGGCCCUUCUUAAAAUUGUCACAAAUUCCGUGUGACUCUUAUAUUUCCAAUUUAGCCUCGCAACCACGAUACUUUUGAUCCAUUGUAAAAACACUUAUAGAGCCUUAGUACCAUUACUUGAUGACAGCCAUGAUAGGAGGCAAGAAUUUUGAAUCUGCUCUAAUCUACUUUAACUUAAGAAUUCCGUUUUCCAGGGGAAAAUACUCACGUGAUGGUGCAGAGUCCCUAUUGCUGGUUCAAUCUCGCCAUAUUGAUAAUUCAAAUUUCAUUUAAAAAUGCGCGUCAAAAUAAUGGAUUUUGAUCAUUUUAUUGAUCAGAAAAACUAACGCAGAUAGAUUUCGACGUUUCGAUGACGUUUCAUCAUUAUCAAGAAACUAACUGAGAAAAAAAAUUGUAUUUAAUCAAUAUUUAUCUAUAUUAUGUGUGAGUUACUUUGAAGCUGUAAUUACAAUACUUUUUCUCCCCUAGUGCAUAUCUGCAUAAUAAUAAUAACAAUAAUAAUAAUAAUAAUAAUGAUGAUGAUGAUGAUGAUGAUGAUAAUAUUAAUAACCUUUAUUUACCGUGGUCAAUGGGCUUAGCUAAAAGCUACUUUGCAGCCAUGCCACACAAAAAAAAGAGACAAUACUAUAAAUAGAGAGUAAUUUAAAAACUCAUAUAUAUGGAUAGACUAUGGAAAUAUGACUAAACACAACUAGGAAUUUAAAAAUUCAUCCAUUGUUGUUAAAAUAGGGUUUAUUUGCAAAAUAAAUAAAAAAUAAAAAAAAUCAAGUAGCUCUGUUGCUAUAGAAACUAUGGUCUACCAUUUACUCGCCCAGUGAAUCAAUGUUUAUCUCCCCCAGUCUCCCUCAUCCUUAACUUAAACGAAACCGGAAAUGAACUUAGUUGAUUACUUCCGCUAGCACCAUUCUUCCUCCAGAAACUCGACCGAAUCAAAUCAAAGUUCCCCUGUUCUUAUGAAAUGCAAACAUGACAGGAGGCAGCAGGGACAUGUCUGAACUCGUAGGGAAAAGUCAUCGCUGAUUGGUAAUUUUAGGAUGUAGUUCAAUGCUCAUGUCACCAGUCAAAUAUCAUGGGAAANUUUUCACAAAGCUUGGUUUAAUGCUGGAGACUAAUUGGUGAAGCAUAAAACUUGUAAACACAGUUGCUAUUAUGAAACUAGCCGUUAUGCCAAAAUCUAGUUAAGGUCUAUGAUAUGUCUUGAAGGCAAAUACAUAUAUACAUACAAGCUUUAUCAUAGGCGAGUUAAACAAACAGUUGGUUUCCAAUCUAGCCCACCGUACCCAUAAAUAGAAAACUAAUAAAUAAGAAUGCAUGACUGCUGAUCACAUUGCAUUUCAAAUCAAAUUCUAUUGGUGUAUGGCACAUGAUGUGUAUCGGUAUAUGUCAAUAAUUUAAAAUUUUUAUUGUUAUGACAGGCAGACGGCUGAAAAAUUAAAAAUAAACUUUUUAAAACCAAUUACAACACAACAUAAUUUUCUCAUGAGACGUCAUCAUUUUCAUUUUCACUAAAGACACAAAGGCGUUGUUUCUCAGUGACCGUACGUCUGAAACCUAUUGAAUAACUUCAAGACGUUUGAGGAUUAUGCAUGGAGAAAAACAAUUGGAAACUCUGAACAAAACUUCAGCGCUGGAAGGGUCAAAUAUCGAUCUCAGAAUCGUGCAUUUUGUUGACUUGCAGCUCUCUCUGGAUCAGGAAGGCUUUAAUCCAUUUACGGAAAAGGUAACUAUGGAAUAUUUGGUUGAGCUGAAACAUAUUGUGAAAAGGAAUUUUAUGUGAAAUUUCGUCGAUUUAAAAGUUAGUGCGAUGAUAUAUCUCCUGAUUUUAAUUUCUCUUCAUUUGUUCUGUGCUCCGAUCCAUUGAACAUAUUUGAU